rnacentral:rRNA from 1 species
GACGAACGCUGGCGGCGUGCUUAACACAUGCAAGUCGAACGGUAAGGCCCUUCGGGGUUAGUGGCGCACGGGUGCGUAACACGUGGGAAUCUGCCCUUUGCUUCGGAAUAACAGUUAGAAAUGACUGCUAAUACCGGAUGAUGUCGCAAGACCAAAGAUUUAUCGGCAAAGGAUGAGCCCGCGUAGGAUUAGCUAGUUGGUGGGGUAAAGGCCUACCAAGGCGACGAUCCUUAGCUGGUCUGAGAGGAUGAUCAGCCACACUGGGACUGAGACACGGCCCAGACUCCUACGGGAGGCAGCAGUGGGGAAUAUUGGACAAUGGGCGAAAGCCUGAUCCAGCAAUGCCGCGUGAGUGAUGAAGGCCUUCGGGUUGUAAAGCUCUUUUACCAGGGAUGAUAAUGACAGUACCUGGAGAAUAAGCUCCGGCUAACUCCGUGCCAGCCGCCGCCGUAA